UGAACGCUGGCGGCGUGCCUAACACAUGCAAGUCGAACGGUAACAGGAAGAAGCUUGCUUCUUUGCUGACGAGUGGCGCACGGGUGAGUAAUACAUAGUUAAUGUGCCCCUUAGACCGGGAUAGCCACUGGAAACGGUGAUUAAUACCGGAUACUCCUUCUCAACAUAAGUUGAGUCGGGAAAUGUUUUUCGCUAAGGGAUCAGUCUAUGUCCCAUCAGUUAGUUGGUAGUGUAAGAGACUACCAAGGCAAUGACGGGUAGCGGGUUUGAGAGGAUGAUCCGCCACACUGGUACUGAGACACGGACCAGACUCCUACGGGAGGCAGCAGUGAGGAAUAUUGCACAAUGGGGGAAACCCUGAUGCAGCAACGCCGCGUGGAGGAUGACGCAUUUCGGUGUGUAAACUCCUUUUAUAAGAGAAGAAAAUGACGGUAUCUUAUGAAUAAGCACCGGCUAACUCC
rnacentral:rRNA from 1 species